GUCUGUUUGGAGUUAAAGUCGCCGGGGCGGAUGCUCGCUUUCCGUCCAGGAUUGAAUUCUCAAGGCCAGUCUUGUCUGAGGAAGCAGCAGCGUGGACGAGGAGGAAGAGGAAAGGAAGGAGUCAGGAAUGGCUGGCUGUCAG